rnacentral:snRNA from 1 species
AAACCUACCUGGCGUCGGGAUACCGUGAUCAUGUAGGCGGUUCCCCGGGGUGCGGCUGCUCCUUUGCAAUGCGGAGUGGUUGACUCUUGCGAUUAUUUUUAUAUUUCAUAAGUUUCACUUCUACCGUGUGUGACUUGCACACACACACACACACA